UACUAGAGUAGCACUCGCAUAUCAAUAAGCGGAGGAAAAGAAACUAACAAGGAUUCCCCUAGUAACGGCGAGUGAAGCGGGAAGAGCUCAAAUUUGAAAUCUUAAAGGGUUUCCCUUUACGAAUUGUAGUUUAAAGAAGUGUUCUCUGUUGAGGUUUUGGUAAAAGUUCUUUGGAAUAGGACAUCAUAGAGGGUGAGAAUCCCGUAUUUGACCUUUACUUUCAACUUUGUGAUACACUUUCAAAGAGUCGGAUUGUUUGGGAAUGCAGUCCAAAAUGGGUGGUAAAUUUCAUCUAAAGCUAAAUAUUGGCGAGAGACCGAUAGCGAACAAGUACCGUGAGGGAAAGAUGAAAAGAACUUUGAAAAGAGAGUUAAACAGUACGUGAAAUUGUCAAAAGGGAAACGUUUGACACCAGUGUUGUUUUCUCUGAAAAUCAAUUAAAGAGCUGUUUAUGCUAAGUUGUUUAGACUUUAUCAGCUAACUGUUUAGUUUUGAGCUUUUCUUUAAUGCACUUUUCAGUUAACAAGUCAACAUCAAUUUCUUUUGCUGUAAAAAAGCUUGAGGAAGGUGGCUUGAGAUUCGUCUUAAGUGUUUAUAGCCUCUUGCCUAUGCAGUCGGAGAGAUUGAGGUCUGCAGCGUAGAUCCUUCGGGGCUAAAUGCAUUUGUGCUAAGUUAUAGUAUUUUAUAGACAACUUGCUGACUAUGAUUUGUCUUGUAGCUUACUCGCAUUACUGUUAUUUUACCUACGCUUAGGAUGUUGAAGACUCUACAGAGAUA
rnacentral:rRNA from 1 species